GACGAACGCUGGCGGCGUGCUUAACACAUGCAAGUCGAACGCAGUGGCGAACGGGUGAGUAAUACGUGGGUAACCUGCCCUCUUUUGUGGGAUAAGCCUUGGAAACGGGGGCUAAUACCGAAUAACGGUGGGUGGGCGCGGGGCCUUUCAUCUUGUUGUUGGGGUGGUGGCCUACCACGGAGGUGACGGGUAGCCGGCCUGAGAGGGUGACCGGCAACAUGGGGCCGGAGAUACGGCCCCGACUCGCACGGGUGGCAGCAGUGGGGGAUAGGGCAGAAUGGGCGAAAGGCUGAUGCGGCGAAGUGGCGUGGGGGAUGAAGGCUUUAGGGUUGUAAGCCUCUUUAGCUAGCGAACGGGUAGGUGGAGAAGAAGCGCCGGCUAACUACGUGCCAGCAGCCGCGGUAAUUC
rnacentral:rRNA from 1 species